GGGUCAGUAGGUUGGUCGUGCCACCGGUACGUACUGGUCUCACUGAUUCCUCCUUCCUGAAGAACCGUAAUGCCAUUAAUUUGGUGUUGCGGGGAAACAGGACUGUUACUUUGAAAAGAUUAGAGUGUUUAAAGCAAGCUAACGCUUGAAUACAUUAGCAUGGAAUAAUGAAAUAGGGCGAUCGAUCCUAUUUUGUUGGUUUCUAGGAUUGACGUA
rnacentral:rRNA from 1 species